rnacentral:tRNA from 1 species
UCCCCUGGUGGUCCAGUGGCUAAGACUCCGCACUCCAAAUGCAGCGGGCCCAGGUUCAAUCCCUGGUCAGGGAA